AGAGUUUGAUUAUGGCUCAGGACGAACGCUGGCGGCGUGCUUAACACAUGCAAGUCGAACGAUGACGAUGGUGCUUGCACCGUCUGAUUAGUGGCGAACGGGUGAGUAACACGUGAGUAACCUGCCCUCCUCUUCGGGAUAACCGCCGGAAACGGUGGCUAAUACCGGAUAUGAAUGUCUGCCGCAUGGUGGGUGUUGGAAAGAUUUAUCGGUGGGGGAUGGACUCGCGGCCUAUCAGUUUGUUGGUGAGGUAAUGGCUCACCAAGGCGAUGACGGGUAGCCGGCCUGAGAGGGCGACCGGCCACACUGGGACUGAGACACGGCCCAGACUCCUACGGGAGGCAGCAGUGGGGAAUAUUGCACAAUGGGCGAAAGCCUGAUGCAGCGACGCCGCGUGGGGGAUGACGGCCUUCGGGUUGUAAACCUCUUUCAGCAGGGAAGAAGCGAGAGUGACGGUACCUGCAGAAGAAGCGCCGGCUAACUACGUGCCAGCCGCCGC
rnacentral:rRNA from 1 species